CCUCGGGGACCCUAGUUCCAUAUGAAGCCGUCUAUGCUCCCUUGAUGACUGCUGCCUUGGGGAUCGGGGGGGUUGACUGUGCUGUAUCUGCCCUGUCCUCUGGGACACUGCCUGGAAACGGGGUCUAAUACGGGAUACUGAUCGCCUUGGGCAUCCUUGGUGAUCGAAAGCUCCGGCGGUGCAGGAUGAGGCCGCGGCCUAUCAGAUUGGUGGUGAGGUAAUGGCUCACCAAGGCGACGACGGGUAGCCGGCCUGAGAGGGCGACCGGCCACACUGGGACUGAGACACGGCCCAGACUCCUACGGGAGGGAGCAGGGGGGAAUAUUGCACAAUGGGCGAAAGCCUGAUGCAGCGACGCCGCGUGAGGGAUGACGGCCUUCGGGUUGUAAACCUCUUUCAGCAGGGAAGAAGCGAAAGUGACGGUACCUGCAAAAGAAGCGCCGGCUAACUACGUGCCAGCAGCCGCGGUAAUACGUAGGGCGCGAGCGUUGUCCGGAAUUAUUGGGCGUAAAGAGCUCGUAGGCGGCUUGUCGCGUCGGUUGUGAAAGCCCGGGGCUUAACCCCGGGUCUGCCGUCGAUACCCGCAGGCUAGAGUUCGGUAGGGUAGAUCGGAAUUCCUGGCGUGCCGGCGA
rnacentral:rRNA from 1 species